rnacentral:rRNA from 1 species
GACGAACGCUGGCGGCGUGCCUAAUACAUGCAAGUCGAACGCAGUGGGGACGGGUGAGUAACACGUGGGUAACCUCCCAUCAGAGGGGAUAACACUUGGAAACAGGUGCUAAACCGAUCUUGAUGGAUGGACCCGCGGUGCAUUAGAUAGUUGGUGCGGUAACGGAUCACCAAGGCAACGCUGAAUAGCGGACUGGAGAGGGUGCUCGGCCACACUGGGACUGAGACACGGCCCAGACUCCUACGGUAGGCAGCAGUAGGGAAUCUGGGGCAAUGGACGAAAGUCUGAUCGAGCAACGCCGCGUGAGUGAAGAAGGUUUUCGGAUCUUAAAGCUCUGUUGUUAGAGAAGCGGUAUCUAACCAGAAAGCCACGGCUAACUACGUGCCAGCAGCCGCGGUAAUAC